AUAUGAACUACCUGGGGAUCUUGUUAAAAUAGAGAUUCUGAUUCAGAAGGUCUGGAGUGUGAUCUGAGAUUUGCAUUUCUAACAAGCUCCCAGGUAAUGCUGAU
rnacentral:pre_miRNA from 2 species